rnacentral:rRNA from 1 species
GGACUACCGGGGUAUCUAAUCCUGUUUGCUCCCCACGCUUUCGCGCCUCAGCGUCAGUCUCGGUCCAGAGAGCCGCCUUCGCCACCGGUGUUCUUCCCAAUAUCUACGAAUUUCACCUCUACACUGGGAAUUCCACUCUCCUCUCCCGAACUCCAGCCCCACAGUCCCAAGCGCCAUUCCCGGGUUAAGCCCGGGGCUUUCACGCCUGACUUGCAAGGCCGCCUGCGCGCCCUUUACGCCCAGUAAUUCCGAACAACGCUCGCCCCCUUCGUAUUACCGCGGCUGCUGGCAC